rnacentral:lncRNA from 1 species
AGGUUCGGUUACCCUCCUAUGAAGGAUGGGUGCACGGACCGCCUGCAGUCGUUGAGGAGCAAGAACAGGGCCAAGGACUGAGCGAUUUCUCAGCUCAGGCGACCACCCACCUCCUCGGACCCUGCUUAGUCCUGCACCCCGGGAUCCCUCUGCGGGCGCUAGAGGGGCCUGGGGGCAGCGGGGAGCUUGAGAUGAGCCGGAUGACUGCAGGCGCGGUGUCGGAGACCUAUCGGGUUCCCAACCCCGCGCCAUGCCACCCCCUGCCGAGGAUACCCCUUUUCAGCCUUGGUGCAAAUAGACCUUGAAGAAAGCAGGAAUCGGUCGUUUGCGCUGGUGGCAGCCUGGUGGGGGCGACGGUCUUCCUAUCCUAGUCAGGGGGACAGCCCCAGAGAGUACAUUUCCAACAAUAACGUUUAAUGUCGUCAGAGUUUUAUCUUUUUUGUUUUUUCUUGCUAGAGGGGCAAGGAACAGGCCUUUCCACGGGUGCCCGACAUCAACCGAGCAAUCCGGUCGCGCGACAGAGCCCGACCACCACCGAAGAGGUUUUGGGGGCUUUUGGUGGGGACAAUCGUGGAGAGAAAAGCAUUCAUCCCCGCCUUGGUGCACCCCCCCCAAAGUCUCACGGUGACAGUGACAUGACCCCAAAAAGCGAUGGCAAAGGGGGAGGCGGUUGGAAACCUGGCUCUGAGGUUGCCCUCACCCAAGGAGCUCCGGCUUCUUCCUAGAAUUUCUAGAAGCACUUUCGGAGGGACUGAAGGCUUCCGGCCCGACGCAGAGGAAUUUGAGCCUCGCCCCGGCGGCAGCCUGGGAGCGGAGAGGCUGCAGAGCCACAUUCCGCCCGAGCCGCCCCUGCUAGGCCCCAGGAAGCGCCGCGGAAAACAAAGCGCUGCGGUUUCAGCCCAAGGUUAAAG